AUUGAACGCUGGCGGCAGGCUUAACACAUGCAAGUCGAGCGAGCGGAGGACGGGUGAGUAAUGUCUGGGAAACUGCCUGAUGGAGGGGGAUAACUACUGGAAACGGUAGCUAAUACCGCAUACCAUCAGAUGUGCCCAGGUGGGAUUAGCUCGUAGGUGGGGUAAUGGCUCACCUGGGCGACGAUCCCUAGCUGGUCUGAGAGGAUGACCAGCCACACGGGAACAGAGACACGGUCCAGACGCCCACGCGAGGCAGCAGUGGGGAAUAUUGCGCAAUUGGCGAAAGCCUGAUGCAGCCAUGCCGCGUGUGUGAAGAAGGCCUUCGGGUUGUAAAGCACUUUCAGCGAGGAGGCGUUACUCGCAGAAGAAGCACCGGCUAACUCCGUGCCAGCAGCCGCGGUAAUAC
rnacentral:rRNA from 1 species